rnacentral:rRNA from 1 species
GACGAACGCUGGCGGCGUGCCUAAUACAUGCAAGUCGAACGGACGGAACGGGAGCUUGCUCCCGGGAAGUCAGUGGCGGACGGGUGAGUAACACGUGGGUAACCUGCCCUUCAGUGGGGGAUAACAUCCGGAAACGGGUGCUAAUACCGCAUAGUUUCUUCUUCCGCCUGGAAGAAGAAGGAAAGACGGCCUUUGUGCUGUCGCUGAGGGAUGGACCCGCGGCGUAUUAGUUAGUUGGUGGGGUAAUGGCCUACCAAGACGAUGAUACGUAGCCGACCUGAGAGGGUGAUCGGCCACAUUGGGACUGAGACACGGCCCAAACUCCUACGGGAGGCAGCAGUAGGGAAUCUUCCGCAAUGGACGAAAGUCUGACGGAGCAACGCCGCGUGAGUGAAGAAGGUUUUCGGAUCGUAAAACUCUGUUGUCGGAGAAGAACAAGCGGGAGAGUAACUGUUCCCGCCUUGACGGUACCCGACCAGAAAGCCACGGCUAACUACGUGCCAGCCGCCGCAGUAACAC